AGAGUUUGAUCGUGGCUCAGGAUGAACGCUAGCGGCAGGCUUAAUACAUGCAAGUCGUGGGGCAGCGCAGUGUAGCAAUACAUGGGCGGCGACCGGCAAACGGGUGCGGAACACGUACACAACCUUCCUACAAGUGGGGAAUAGCCCAGAGAAAUUUGGAUUAAUACCCCGUAACAUAUAGAGAUGGCAUCAUUUUUAUAUUAUAGCUAUGGCGCUUGUUGAUGGGUGUGCGGCUGAUUAGGUAGUUGGCGGGGUAACGGCCCACCAAGCCUUCGAUCAGUAGCUGAUGUGAGAGCAUGAUCAGCCACACGGGCACUGAGACACGGGCCCGACUCCUACGGGAGGCAGCAGUAAGGAAUAUUGGACAAUGGGCGCAAGCCUGAUCCAGCCAUGCCGCGUGAAGGAUUAAGGUCCUCUGGAUUGUAAACUUCUUUUAUAAGGGACGAAAAAAGGGAAUUCUUUCUCACUUGACGGUACCUUAUGAAUAAGCACCGGCUAACUCCGCGCCAGCAGCCGCGGUAAUACGGAGGGUGCAAGCGUUAUCCGGAUUCACUGGGUUUAAAGGGUGCGUAGGCGGGUAUUUAAGUCAGUGGUGAAAUCCUAGAGCUUAACUCUAGAACUGCCAUUGAUACUAUUUAUCUUGAAUAUUGUGGAGGUAAGCGGAAUAUGUCAUGUAGCGGUGAAAUGCUUAGAUAUGACAUAGAACACCUAUUGCGAAGGCAGCUUACUACGCAUAUAUUGACGCUGAGGCGCGAAAGCGUGGGGAUCAAACAGGAUUAGAUACCCUGGUAGUCCACGCCCUAAACGAUGGAUACUCGACAUACGCGAUACACUGUGUGUGUCUGAGCGAAAGCAU
rnacentral:rRNA from 1 species